AUGAAGGUGGAGGGGGGCUGCUCUGGAGUUUUCCCUGCUGGGGGGGUCCUCUCUGCCCAGGGGGACUCGAGUUGCUCGGGCUCAGACCCCUGCAAGGGCUCCGGCUUCACCUUCAGCAGCUCCUACAUGCAGUGGGUGCGACAGGCGCCCGGGAAGGGGCUGGAAUACAUCGCGCAUAUUGACAGCGAUGGUAGUUACACCCACUACGCGCCGUCGGUCAAGGGACGCUUCACCAUCUCGAGGGACAACUCCCAGAGCACGCUCACGCUGCAGAUGAACAGCCUCAGGGCCGACGACACGGCCACCUACUACUGCGCGAAAGAAGCUGAUGGUAGUGCCAGUGAUGCUCACACCGAGUCCCAGCAUCCCUGCACCGUGUCCCCAAAUCCCGACAUCUGUCUCAAACGCCUGCCUCAUUCCUGGACCCCUGCACCCAACCCGGACCCUUGUCCUGAGCCUCGACGCUUUUCCCAGCCCAGACAUCUCUCUCCCAACCCGCGUCUUUAG